AGAGCGAACGCUGGCGGCAGGCCUAAUACAUGCAAGUCGAACGAACCCUUCGGGGUUAGUGGCGGACGGGUGAGUAACACGUGGGAACGUGCCUUUUGGUUCGGAACAACUCAGGGAAACUUGAGCUAAUACCGAAUGUGCCCUUCGGGGGAAAGAUUUAUCGCCAUUAGAGCGGCCCGCGUCUGAUUAGCUAGUUGGUGGGGUAAAGGCCCACCAAGGCUACGAUCAGUAGCUGGUCUGAGAGGAUGAUCAGCCACACUGGGACUGAGACACGGCCCAGACUCCUACGGGAGGCAGCAGUAGGGAAUCUUGCGCAAUGGGCGAAAGCCUGACGCAGCCAUGCCGCGUGAAUGAUGAAGGUCUUAGGAUUGUAAAAUUCUUUCAGCGGGGACGAUAAUGACGGUACCCGCAGAAGAAGCCCGGCUAACUUCGUGCCAGCAGCCGC
rnacentral:rRNA from 1 species